UUUAAAGUUAUAUUUUUAUUAAAAAUAAUUAUAAUUAUUAAUGUUUUAGUAUAGUAUAUAGAAUAAAUAAUUUUUAUGAUAGUAAAUUAGUACUGUAAAGAAAAAUUGAAAUAAAUUGAAAAAUUAAUAUAUAUAAAGAAGAUUUAAAUUAUUGUACCUUGUGUAUCAGGGUUUAUUAAUUAAAAAAUAAAUAAUAUUAUUUUUCUCGAUUUUAAAAGAGUUAAUAAAUUAUAUUAGUUUAUGUGGAAAAAUGAUUAAUAAUAAUUUAUUAGAAAUGAAAAGUUAUUCGUUUUUAAAGGUAUCUAGUUUUUUAAGAAAUGAAUUUAAUUCAGUUAUUUUAAAUAUAUUAAUUUAAUUAUUUAAUUUAAUAUUUUAAAAUAAUAAUAUUUUAUGGGAUAAGCUGUAAAAUAAAUAAUUAAAAAUUUAUAAAUUUAUUAAUAAAUAUAUGCUUAUAAAUAGCAAUUAUUAUUGAAUAUGUUAUAAUUUAUUUUAUAAAAUUAAUUAUUUAAUAUAAUUUUAAUUAUUUAUUAAAAUAUUUAUUUUAAUAAUAAAAAUAAAUUAAUAAUGAUAAAAUUAGUAUAUAAUUUAAUUUGUAUAAAUAUAAAUAAUUGAUAAUUUUAUAUAAAGAACUCGGCAAAUAUUGUAUUCGCCUGUUUCUCAAAAACAUGUCUUUUUGUAUUUUAUUUAAAGUCUAAUCUGCCCACUGAUAUUUAUUGAAGGGCCGCGGUAUUUUAACCGUGCAAAGGUAGCAUAAUCAUUAGUUUUUUAAUUGAAGGCUUGUAUGAAUGGUUGGACGAGAUAUAAGCUGUUUCAUAUAAAAUUAAAUAGAAUUUUAUUUUUUAGUUAAAAAGCUAAAAUUUAUUUAAAAGACGAGAAGACCCUAUAGAUCUUAAUAAUUUAUAUAUUUUAUUUAUAUAGAAAAUUUAAGAUAUUAUAAUUAUAAUUAUUUUGUUGGGGUGACAAUAAAAUUUAAUUAACUUUUAUAUUUAAUUUACAUAAAUUAAUGAAUAAUUGAUCCAUUAUUAAUGAUUAAUAAAUUAAGUUACCUUAGGGAUAACAGCGUAAUUUUUUUAGAGAGUUCAUAUCGAUAAAAAAGUUUGCGACCUCGAUGUUGGAUUAAGAAAUAAAAUUGGGUGUAGAAGUUCAAAAUUUUAGGUCUGUUCGACCUUUGAUUUCUUACAUGAUCUGAGUUCAAACCGGCGUGAGCCAGGUUGGUUUCUAUCUUUAUUAAAUUAUAAUAUUUUAGUACGAAAGGACCAAAUAUUAAAAAUAUAAAUUUUUUUGUAUAGAAUUUUAUUAAUUUUACUAUUUUGGCAGAUUAGUGCAA
rnacentral:rRNA from 1 species